rnacentral:rRNA from 1 species
UCGCUACUACCGAUUGAAUGUUUUAGUGAGCCGCAGGGAUUGGGAAGCUCGGACGGCUUGCUGUCUCUUGACGACCGAAAACUGCUGCAAACUUGAGCAUUUAGAGGAAGUAA